rnacentral:rRNA from 1 species
UGAAUACGAGACGCUAAGGCGUCGAAGUAGUGUAUAUCAGACUUCCAAGAAAAGCUUGCACUGUCAUAGAUAAAAAAUGCCUGUACCAUAACCGACACAGGUGGGUAGGUAGAGUAUACUAAGGGGCGCGAGAUAACUCUCUCUAAGGAACUCGGCAAAAUAACUCCGUAACUUCGGGAGAAGGAGUGCCUUAUUUAUAAGGUUGCAAUAACAAGAUCCAAGCAACUGUUUAUCAAAAACACAGGUCUCCGCUAAGUCGUAAGACGAUGUAUGGGGGCUGACGCCUGCCCAGUGCCAGAAGGUUAAAGAAGUUGGUUAGCAAUUGCGAAGCUGAUAACUGAAGCCCUGGUGAACGACGGCCGUAACUAUAACGGUCCUAAGGUAGCGAAAUUCCUUGUCGGGUAAGUUCCGACCCGCACGAAAGGCGUAAUGAUUUGGAUACUGACUCGGAGAGGGGCUCGGUGAAAUAGACUUGUCUGUGAAGAUGCGGACUACCUGCACCAGGACAGAAAGACCCUAUGAAGCUUUACUGUAACUUGAAAUUGAAAUUGGACUUUAUUCGCGCAGCAUAGGUGGGAGGCGUUGAUUAUAAUCUUGCGGGAUUAUUGGAGCCAUCAGUGAGAUACCACUCUUGUAAUGUUAGAUUUCUAACUUUGAAUCAUUAUCUGGUCAAAGAACAGUUUCAGGCGGGCAGUUUGACUGGGGCGGUCGCCUCCUAAAUGGUAACGGAGGCGUACAAAGGUUUCCUCUGAACGGUUAGAAAUCGUAUCUAGAGUGUAAAGGCAUAAGGAAGCUUGACUGUGAGACCUACAAGUCGAGCAGGGACGAAAGUCGGUCUUAGUGAUCUGACGGUACUGAGUGGAAAGGCCGUCACUCAGCGGAUAAAAGUUACUCUAAGGAUAACAGGCUGAUCUCCCCCAAGAGUUCACAUCGACGGGGAGGUUUGGCACCUCGAUGUCGGCUCAUCGCAUCCUGGGGCGGUAGUACGUCCCAAGGGUUGGGCUGUUCGCCCAUGAAAGCGGUACGCGAGCUGGGUUCAGAACGUCGUGAGACAGUUCGGUCCAUAUCCGGUGUAGGCGUUAGAAUAUUGAGAGGAGCCUUCUUUAGUACGAGAGGACCGAGAAGGACAUACCUCUGGUGUACCAGUUAUCGUGCCAACGGUAAACGCUGGGUAGCUAUGUAUGGAGUGGAUAACCGCUGAAAGCAUCUAAGUGGGAAGCCCACCUCAAGAUAAG